rnacentral:lncRNA from 1 species
CUGGUCUUCAUCUUUCACCUACACUGGAUGCUUCCUGCCCUCGAACAUCAGACUCCAAGUUCUUCAACUUUUGGACUCUUGGAGUUACACCAGUAGUUUGCCAGGGGCUCUCGGGCCUUUGGCCAUAGACUGAAGGCUGCACAGUUGGCUUCCCUGCUCUUGAGGUUUGGGACUCGGACUGGCUUCCUUGCUCCUCAGUUUGUAGAUGGCCUAUCGUGGGACUUCACUUUGUGAUUGUAUCGUGGUCACCAGAUGGCUGUUGCCCUUCCAGGCUUCCAGCUCCUGUGUUCCAGACUGAAGAAGAGGAACAGAAAAAGGGUCAGACAUCUUUCUCCUAGUGCAGCUUUGUUUGAUUAGGAAGAGAGAAUUCCCCCUCACCGUCCCCCUUGAGAUUUCUGCCAGCAUCUCAUUGACCUGAACUGUGACACCUAGCUAUUUCUGUUUCACUCUCUAACAAAUGUAGAAAGUGUUAGUAAGGAAGACUGGAGUAGCAUACUUAGAAAUGGCAACAAGCAGUGCCUCCCACAGCUGCACAGUAUCCCAGUUUGUCAGAAUCUUCCAUGUACUCCUUCAGGUCUACUCUAUGCCCUUCUCACUCUGUUCUCUACUCCGGAGGCUGAUUUCCAGGGCUACAUUCCACAGGCCACCAGGCUUUCCCAGGCCAAGUUCUCUAGAAAUAGAUCCUGACGUGGGUAUUUGAGUACACAUGAUGUAUUGAGAGAGUGCUCCCAGGAGCAACCUUCAGGGGAGUGAGGGAGGCAGACAUGGAAUGAAAAGGAACUAUGGAAAAAUGUGGUUUCAGGUGAAAUCUAGCUUUGGCAUGAUCCCAUGGAAAGUUCUGUAGUGUAAAUUCUGAUGCAGAGUCUUUUCCAACGUGGGACAAGGAAACAGGGACUUUGCAGCACCUCUCCAGUCAGUUCUGGGCCAUUGGCCCCUAGAUGGGGAAAGAAUGUAUAAUUCCCAGGCACCUCCAGGUAAGGCGACCUCAGUCACCUAAGGGCAAGCCUUCUGAGAAGGAUGCAGGUGUAAGUCUAUAGCAGAAGCACCUGCAGCAACUGAGGAAUUAGCACACCAACCAUAUCAUUGAGAGGGAUCUCAGGGCUCUGGGUUGCAUAACAACAGCUUCUAUCUGUGCUUUCUGGCUUCCACUAACCUUGGCCAAUGGAGAGCUAGAACAGGCCAUGAAGGCAUUUCCCUUAACUCGCUCCCUGCUGGGUUUCUUCCCAAGGAUUCUUGGACAUGAGAGGAAAUGUCGUUUCAUGAAUGUUAAACUAAUUUGACUUAACUUAUAAAAGAUAUGAGGCAUAUCAGAAUACUUGAGCUAAAUAACAAAAGAUCAUCAAGUAAAGAGUAAAUCAUGGUCUUUCAUGGAAAAGAAAAUUUAUUAAGAAUUUGUUCUAUUCACAGUUAUUGAAUACAAAAAAACUCCAAG